UUAAUUCAUUGAAUUUUUUCUCAGACUACACUAAUAUUCGAGUUUAAAGGUCCAUUGCCCUAGAGGCCGGACGGAGCGGCACGCGGGUUUCCCCAACGCCCCAAUCAGCCGACAUAAGGCAAGGCAACUAGUGGUUUAAAACAAAGGGUUGGAGGUUGGACUUGCGUCCUUUCUCUUUAAUGAUCCUUCCGCAGGUUCACCUACGGAAA
rnacentral:misc_RNA from 1 species